AAGAAGAAUUAAUAACAUACAGCAAGAAGAAUAGGAAAUAAAGGAAUCGCACAAGCUAGGCAAACAAAAAGUAAUUCGAAUUAUGGAGGGAUCUUCAAAGACUAAUUUAUUGGAAGGAUAGAAGGCAUAUAUGGUUAUAGGUAUAUGUGGACCAGGCAGGAGUGAUUCCGGUUGCGGAUGGAAGAUAAAGGUAACUACGAAGAUUGAGUUGUGGGGCUUGCAGUUGCAACAGAAUGACGAUGAUGGGACCUGUCAGAUUGAGGAAGGCCUACGGGAUCAGAAACAGAAGCGACGAGCCUUCGGAUCUCAGAGCGGAGCUUAUAGAGAACGUGCCUCCAAGUGCCCCUAUCGUGGGAGCCAAGGAUCUGGGUUUCUUGCUUGUUCAUCUCAAGAUCUCUGGCGAAGACGGGCUUCCUGGAUAGGAUCCAAGCCCAUCCCCACUCCCACCAUUUCCUGAUGGAGGUGCCUGCAUAGUCACCCACCGACAAGAGCGACUUGGAUCUGGGGAGUGACCAAGACGAUGCAACAGCUGGGCCGCUGGGUUGGAUCCUCAGUGACAUGGAUGAGAGGCGUCUGCGAAUUGAUCCUGAUCCUUCAUGGAAGAGUUUACACUUUGUCUGCGACACUGGAAGCGACGCUUUGAAGCUCAUGAUCUCUCUCUGUAUGUGUGCCUCUCUACUACGUAAUGCUGAAGCCACCCCCACCACCACCACCUACGCCUAUUCCGCUGAAUUGAACCAGAUUCCUCUAAUGAGAAAGCACAAAGCAGCUAGCUAGGAUAUCAUGUGGCAAGGAGAAAAUAAAUCAUUAAACAUACAUAACAACUCUUGAGCGGUGAAAUGUAACCUUCACAGCUCCAUCACAGCCUGUUUUAUUCUGUUUGUGGGGUCAAUGACGUUUACGCCCGUCUCCCCCUCUCUUCGUUAGUUGCUUUGGUUUGGUUUAUGCGAAAUGUUAUAUUUACAAUUACAAUUUUGGUAAGGAAAAGUAUAGGUAACAAACAAGAUUUUUUAACAAUGGGCAAAUAAUGUGAAUUAAUAGGGUUAAAAGAGUAAAUUUAAUUAAUAACAUUAAAUUAGGAUGUAGUGUAUUUUCAUUUAAUUGGUAGUUGUUUAUAUUGUUCAAAAUUUUCAUUAUCCCCCUAUUAACGUUUAUCUAUAGUUUUCCAAAACUAAUUUAAAAUGUUUGAUAUUUUGAUAAUCAAAUUAAUAUGUAUAAGUGAUCUUUCAAAAAUCAUUUUAACUAUGAACUUUAUACGUAUAUGUUCUUAAAUUCUUACUAUAUCAUUGUUUUCUUUUUUAUAAUUAAUAACACUUGCUUUUAAAAAGAAUAAGUUAAAGUUAUAUUCUCCUCAACAAUAUAAUGUUGAAUCAUAUUGCUAAGUUGUUGUUGUUAUAAAGUUAUUGUUUACAAGAAAUAAGUACUUUCUUUUUGUUUAUUUUUUUGUUCAAUAUACAAUUGUAUCCACGGUUAUGUAAUUUAUCCAUAUCCUCAUCAAUGUAUGAUUAAAAGAAAUUUAAUUAUCAUUUGACAUUUACAGAAAUGCAUUUGUACAGAACUUCAAACUGUUGGAUUCUAGGCGCCGACAGAAACGAUAAAGUAAACAAAUAAAUUAAAAGACAUGAGAGGACGUGGGUGGACUUCAAUCAUCGGAAACGCGGUCCCAUAUUUAGGGGAAACGGAAAUAGAAAACCAUUAAUCUAAAGUCUAAACCCUUUACCCUUUCCAGCCAGUAAUAUUUUUAGAACUAGAUAACAACUAGCUAGGUUACACCAAAAAGAAAAGAAAAAGGAGAGAAAGACGAAACCAAACCGGCAAGCUAAGGUUGAAUGAUAGAAACGAGUUUGCAAUGAAAAAUCCUGUAACUGCAGUUUUGUUCAACAACUCCAUUAUACAACAGAUAAAUAUAAUGCAUAUAAUCUGGUACAGAGCUUUGUGUGAGCCAGAUAUUGGCCGGACAAGAAUGAAGAAACAGAGAAUUAUUAUACAUAGAUGAAGCGAAUGAUAAAAGAAAGAAGAAUUAAUAACAUACAGCAAGAAGAAUAGGAAAUAAAGGAAUCGCACAAGCUAGGCAAACAAAAAGUAAUUCGAAUUAUGGAGGGAUCUUCAAAGACUAAUUUAUUGGAAGGAUAGAAGGCAUAUAUGGUUAUAGGUAUAUGUGGACCAGGCAGGAGUGAUUCCGGUUGCGGAUGGAAGAUAAAGGUAACUACGAAGAUUGAGUUGUGGGGCUUGCAGUUGCAACAGAAUGACGAUGAUGGGACCUGUCAGAUUGAGGAAGGCCUACGGGAUCAGAAACAGAAGCGACGAGCCUUCGGAUCUCAGAGCGGAGCUUAUAGAGAACGUGCC
rnacentral:lncRNA from 1 species